rnacentral:rRNA from 1 species
GCGUUGGAGCGGAUAGAAGUGAGCAUGCAGGCAUGAGUAGCGAUAAUUGAGGUGAGAAUCCUCAACGCCGAAAACCCAAGGUUUCCUACGCGAUGCUCGUCAUCGUAGGGUUAGUCGGGACCUAAGUCGAGUCCGAAAGGGGUAGACGAUGGUAAAUUGGUUAAUAUUCCAAUACCAGCAUAUAAGCGCGAUGUGGGGACGCAUAGAGUUAAUCGAGGUCACUGAUGGAAGUGUGGCUCGAAGGAAGUAGGUUGAUACUUAGGCAAAUCCGGGUAUCACGAGACCGAGAUCUUACAGGCCGAACAAUCUUUUAGGAGAGCGUUUGGAAUCGAUGAUACUGUCGUGCCAAGAAAAGCCACUAAGUAUAUUAUAUGUUGCCCGUACCGUAAACCGACACAGGUGGGUGGGAUGAGUAUUCUAAGGCGCGUGGAAGAACCCUGGUUAAGGAACUCUGCAAACUAGCACCGUAUCUUCGGUAUAAGGUGUGCCUCCUCUGGUAUAUGAACUUGCUUCAAAAAGCUAGAAAGGUUGCAACAAAGAGUCCCUCCCGACUGUUUACCAAAAACACAGCACUUUGCUAACACGUAAGUGGAUGUAUAAGGUGUGACGCCUGCCCGGUGCUCGAAGGUUAACUGAUGAUGUUAGAGCAAUCGAAGCAUUUGAUUGAAGCCCGAGUAAACGGCGGCCGUAACUAUAACGGUCCUAAGGUAGCGAAAUUCCUUGUCGGUUAAAUACCGACCUGCAUGAAUGGCGUAACGAGAUGGGAGCUGUCUCAACCAGGGAUCCAGUGAAAUUGUAGUGGAGGUGAAAAUUCCUCCUACCCGCGGAAAGACGGAAAGACCCCGUGCACCUUUACUACAGCUUGACACUGUAGCUUGGAUAUUCAUGUGCAGGAUAGGUGGGAGGCUAAGAUGACUAGACGCCAGUAGAGUCGGAGCCACCCUUGAGAUACCACCCUUGAAUAUUUGAGUUACUAACUAGGUAGAGUAAACCUCUACUAGGACAAUGUCUGGUGGGUAGUUUGACUGGGGCGGUCGCCUCCUAAAAAGUAACGGAGGCUUACAAAGGUUAGUUCAUGGCGGAUGGAAAUCGCCAGCUGAGUAUAAUGGCAUAAACUAGCCUGACUGUGAGACGUACAUGUCGAGCAGAGACGAAAGUCGGUCAUAGUGAUCCGGUGGUUCUGAGUGGAAGGGCCAUCGCUCAAAGGAUAAAAGGUACGCCGGGGAUAACAGGCUGAUCUCCCCCAAGAGCUCACAUCGACGGGGAGGUUUGGCACCUCGAUGUCGGCUCAUCGCAUCCUGGGGCUGGAGCAGGUCCCAAGGGUAUGGCUGUUCGCCAUUUAAAGCGGUACGCGAGCUGGGUUCAGAACGUCGUGAGACAGUUCGGUCCCUAUCUUCCGUGGGCGUAGGAAAGUUGAGGAGAUUUGUCCCUAGUACGAGAGGACCGGGAUGAACGUACCACUGGUGUACCAAUUGUUCUGCCAAGAGCAUCGUUGGGUAGCUACGUACGGAUGAGAUAAGAGCUGAAAGCAUCUAAGCUCGAAGCCAACUCCAAGAUGAACUUUCCCUGAAGAUCCCUCUAAGACUAAGAGGUUGAUAGGCUAGAUGUGUAAUCAAUGAAAGUUGUUUAGCUGACUAGUACUAAUAGAUCGUUUGGCUUUUUUUU